rnacentral:rRNA from 1 species
UACCAGCACCCCGAGUGGUCGGGACGUUUAUUGGGCCUAAAGCAUCCGUGGCCGGUUCUACAAGUCUUCCGUUAAAUCCAGCUGCUUAACAGAUGGGCUGCGGAAGAUACUAUGGAGCUAGGAGGCGGGAGAGGCAAGCGGUACUCGAUGGGUAGGGGUAAAAUCCGUUGAUCCAUUGAAGACCACCAGUGGCGAAGGCGGCUUGCCAGAACGCGCUCGACGGUGAGGGAUGAAAGCUGGGGGAGCAAACCGG